rnacentral:rRNA from 1 species
AAAAUAAUUUUAAGUCUAAUCUGCUCAAUGAAUAAUUUUAAAUAGCUGCAGUAUAAAUAACUGUACAAAGGUAGCAUAAUAAUUUGUUUUUUAAUUGAAAACUAGAAUGAAUGAUUAAAUGAAAUAUAAACUAUAUCAAAUUUAAAAAAUAAAUUUAUUAUUUAAAUAAAAAAAUUUAAAUAAAUUUUAAAGACGAGAAGACCCUAAAGAAUUUUAAUAAUAAAUUAUACUAUAAAUUUAAAAUUUAUUAUAUUAAUUGGGGAAAUUUUAAAAUUUAAAAAAUUUUUAAUUAAAUAAACAUAAAUUUUUGAAUAUUUAAAAUUUUUUAAAAAAUUAAAUUAAAUUACCUUAGGGAUAACAGCAUAAUUUUUUUAAAAAGUUCAAAUUUAUAAAAAAGUUUAUGACCUCGAUGUUGAAUUAAGAUUAAAUUUAAU